UACGUAGGGGGCUAGCGUUGUCCGGAAUCAUUGGGCGUAAAGAGCGUGUAGGCGGUCCGGUAAGUCCGCUGUGAAAGUCAAAGGCUCAACCUUUGAAAGCCGAUGGAUACUGCCGGGCUGGAGUCCGGAAGAGGCGAGUGGAAUUCCUGGUGUAGCGGUGGAAUGCGCAGAUAUCAGGAGGAACACCAAUAGCGAAGGCAGCUCGCUGGGACGGUACUGACGCUGAGGCGCGAAAGCGUGGGGAGCGAACAGG
rnacentral:rRNA from 1 species